ensembl:snRNA LOC120094531 U2 spliceosomal RNA
AUCGCUUCUCGGCCUUUUGGCUAAGAUCAAGUGUAGUAUCUGGUGUAUCUGAAGACAGGUACAGUGUACUUAUAUAAAUAAAUCUUAUUUUAAAACAAAAUAAAA